rnacentral:rRNA from 1 species
UACGGGGGGGGCAAGCGUUGUUCGGAAUUACUGGGCGUAAAGGGCUCGUAGGCGGCCAACUAAGUCAUACGUGAAAUCCCUCAGCUUAACUGGGGAACUGCGUGUGAUACUGGAUGGCUUGGAUUUGGGAGAGGGAUGCGGAAUUCCAGGUGUAGCGGUGAAAUGCGUAGAUAUCCGGAGGAACACCGGUGGCGAAGGCGGCUUCCUGGACCGACACUGACGCUGAGGCGCGAAAGCGUGGGGAGCAAACAGG